rnacentral:lncRNA from 1 species
GUCAUCGAACAAGGUUUGAAUCGAACAGUAUGAAGUUUUAGUGCGUGGAUGACUGAAGCAUGAUUGCAUCACUGACGCGAAUUGGCUGUUAUGUUGGCAGGUUGACGGUGAACUCAGAGGCUCGUUGUUGCCUUUGACGCAAGCAUUGAUGGAUUACGACCGAAGAUCUAUAAGUCCGCCGCAGAAAACGAGGUAUAAUGAAGACGAUCUGCCUCCACCCCCGUCUCCUCCACAAUUGAAAGAAGUGACGUCACUAGAUGGAGUACCCAGAGCCGGCAAUGGAGAGACCAAUCUCAUAAUUGACCCGAGCACACCGCAAAUGAUAAUCAGGAAUGAUCAUCAUUCUGUUCUUCCCAGUCACAAUCAGACGACCGGAGACAGUUGGCUAAGUCAUGAUAAUGAUCAGGUAAUUAUUUUAGACUUUUUAUUGAAUUAUUUAUUCCGUCAUCCAAAUGGAGUGGC